AGAUACUAGAAUGACAUGGGAGUAGAUGAAGAAAGAUGGGGAUACUAGAAUGACAUGGGAGCAGAUGAAGAAAGAUGGAGAUACUAGAAUGACAUGGGAGCAGAUGAAGAAAGCUGGAGAUAAUGAAAUGACAUGGGAGCAGAUGAAGAAAGCUGGGGAUACUGGAAUGACAUAGGAGCAGAUGAAGAAAGCUGGAGAUACUAGAAUGACAUGGGAGCAGAUGAAGAAAGCUGGAGAUACUAGAAGGACAUGGGAGCAGAUGAAGAAAGAUGGAGAUACUAGAAUGACAUGGGAGCAGAUGAAGAAAGCU